rnacentral:rRNA from 1 species
GAUGAACGCUGGCGGCGUGCCUAAUACAUGCAAGUCGAGCGAACAGAUGAGGAACUUGUUCCUCUGACAUUAGCAGCGAACGGGUGAGUAACACGUGGGUAACCUACCUAUAAGCCUGGGAUAACUUCGGGAAACCGGAGCUAAUACCGGAUAAAAUCUUUAACCACAUGGUUCAAUAUUGAAAGACGCUUUUGCUUCAACUUAUGAAUGUAUCCCCGCGUCAUUACCUAGUUGUGAAGGUAACGGCUUACCAAGCCAACGAAGCGUAGCCGACCUGAGAGGGUGAUGGGCCAAAUGGGACUGAGGAACCGGUCAAAACCCCUACGGGAGGAAGCAUAGGGGAAUCUUCCGCAUUGGGCGAAGGCUUGACGGGGCAAGGCGGCUGAAGGGAUGAAGGUUUUCGGAUCGUAAAACUCUGUUAUUAGGGAGGAACAAAUGUGUAAGUAACUAUGCACGUAUUGACGGUACCUAAUCAGAAAGCGACGGCUAACUACGUG